ACAUAUAUCAUUACUUUAACUUUAAAGAGGUUUCUUAAAAAAUAUAUCAAUAGCAUGAAUAUGAGUUUUAAUUUACAGUAUAAAAACAAGCUACUUUCAGUAAAUCUUCAAAAAGCAUCCUAAAGAGAGGAUAUUGGAUGAGUGUACAUGUUACUAAGGUUUAAUACUAAAUUUAUUGAACGAGUUGAAUAAAAUCAUAUUAUACGAGCCUCUGGCGAGCAUAAUAUUGUUUUAUUAAACUUGUUCAAUAAAUUUAGUAUGGAACCUAUACGAAUAUGUAGCAGGGUCAUAUUUUUGUAUGACAGUAUUAUGAAACGUGUCAGCUCUUUCCGGUGUUUUAUUUCUUUAGGUUUUGAUAAGUUCUUGCUGGUCUUUUAUUUUCUUGUUUUCUUUGUGAUCUCGCGAGAGUUUGGCGGGAAUGUUGUGCAGGUUUUGAAAAGAGUUUACAUGGUUGAUGUAGAGAACAUUCUAUUAAUUUCAACUUGUCUAUAUGAUUUACAUUUGGUUGAGCUAUCCAAGUGUUUGUGAGAAGUAUUUAAGUUAACCAUCACGUGAGACAGGAUGUAUGUGAUGUGAAGUGAAGUGCUAUAGAUUCUAAUUUGUCAUUGGUUUAUUGUGGAAUAGGCUUAAGAUCCCAUAGAUCUUGCCUUGAUAAAAGUUGACUUCAAUAGAGUACUUAGAAGAUAUAUUGUAUAUUCAGUUUGACUGUAUAUGUAAACAAUAAAUGAAUUACCACAUCUACCCUGUGUUAUAACACCAUGUGUUACAAAUAUAAUAUUCUAUUUAUCACAUACCCAAAACGAGAACGGCUUAUAGUUAUUGGGAGAUACGAUGGUACUCCUUAUAAUGAGAGAAUUUGCACAUUGUGUAGCGACAAUCAAACUGGCACCGAGCAGCAUUACUUGUUACAUUGUAGUUUUUUCGGGAGACAAAGAGAGCAUUUUUUCCAAAACGUAAAUUUAAUAAACGAACGCGAACUUUCGCUGAAAUCACUAUUAGGGUCAAAUAACAUACAUGUUUUAAGGAGCCUCGUGAAAUUCAUUAAUUCUAUUACAAAAACGUUCCAAUAAUCCUAAUGCCUCCAUCAGUAAUUCAAGAUUUCAUCUGAUAUUUCUCACUUGUUAAACUGUUUGUUUCCUUUAAAUUGCGUGUUUAAUUUUUUUCUCAACAUUUUCUUUGUAUACUGUAUAAUUUUCUAUUCACAAAUGAAGUUAUUUUUUCAUAAAACAGAUGUCUGUUAUUGUUAGGAAUACAAGUACAUAUUAUCUAUAUGUAAAUUUAUAAAUUGCCAUUACUCACAUUUUACUGACAAAAUCUUAUCCAACAUAGUCCCAUUGAUUCCUAUUUCGAAUUUCCCCAAUACACGUAGUAAUACAUUAUAAAUCUAUGAAUGACAUUCCUUUCAGUUGUAGAUAACUGUUAUGCACGACUUUCACGUGCAGAUUUACUACAUGUUUGUGCUAAUGUUUUUUGUUUUUUUUUACGUAAUAUCGUGCUAUACAUACAUACAGGUGCGUAUUGUGUUGUAUACCUGUUUAAAUUAUUACAAUAGACAACCUCCUUAUUUUUUUUUUCAAAUGUAGUUACACGUAGAAUAAUAAAUUAAUGGUGUAUAUCGAUUUAAUGUUAACAAACCCCUGCUCAAUAUAUCAUUCCAUAGUUUGUACUUUUUUUUUGGUAAUUUAGUAAAGUUUUUUUUUGUGUGUGUUUUUUUUUUUUU